GUGGGGCCGGCAUUUUUUUACGGUGCUUGAGAUUGUCAUGGUUGUUUUAAGGUUGGGGAUGAAAAUGGAAGGGAGGUUUAGAUCCAGUACCACUGGAUGGCUGUUCUUCUUGCAGAAUGUUGGCUUAUUGGUUAAACCGCUAAGGGCAGCAUCGUUUUAGCCCAUUGAACAAAGGAAUUAAAUGUUGUUCCCAAUGCUCAUAUCAUAAGUAAGCCCUGGAUUUGCUGCUCUGCUGGGGUUUACAAGACCACUGCUGAUGUCAAAAGGGUCUGCUGGGUUGCAAGUACCAUCCUCUGCCACUGUCAUCUUCCCAUCUUUGCCAGAUCGAGAGGCUGCAUUUUGUAAGAACAUCAAUUUGAAAGAGGUAGAAUAGUGCACUUUGAGAAAACGUAAUCCAAGUAACUGUUACUCACCGGUGGUGAUGAUUGCUGAUUUUAGUGCUGCAGAGAUCAAUCUUUGUUGAUGCAUUUCAUAAGGGUAGCUAUUUCUGCCACAUGCAGACAAGCCAUUGAGGUACGUGAUAGCAUGACAAACUCAUCACUGUUCUUCGGAUCGUUGGAUGGUGGAUAUGCAGCUAAGAUGUUGACACCAGGUGCAGAUAUGUCAGGCUGCCAGAGACAUUCAUCAAUAAUAUGAAAAGCAACAGGAAGACCAGAGAAAAUCCAAUGAAAUUUUGAGCAACAAAAAGAAAAUGAAUAGUCGAGGCUUGGAGAUGGACCAUACCUUUAACAUGGCAGGAGACAAGGAACAAGGCCCUCUGGAAGAGAAAAUGCCACUUUCCCAGAGACAGUCUUUGCACUGCCCAACUACACGACUGGUGACCUACUGAAGGAAGAACAGUUAUUAUGCAUUUCCACACACACGUCGCCUAAUCCUAUGGUACCAUCUCAGAAUCUGCUUACUUCGGCUGUUUGAUGGUGGACAAAACCUCUGUUUUAUCUUGUAAUUUACUCUAAUACAGGCGAUAAUUUUACAUGCUUCUAGCAUAUUAUCUUGACCACACACGAGGAUGACACCAACUCGAUGUGCGAUGUGUGAUGUGCACAUACAAAGUUGCUUCAUAAGAUGGUGAGAAACAGAGGAUGACCUUCCCCGCCACUAAUGUGGCAUUAAGAGUUCCAGUUCUGCAACUCUUGCUGCUGACCAAGUGGCCUCAACAACUUACUCAGCAAGGUUACAUAAACCGGAAAGUAGGGAAAAUCAUCUUCAGAGAAAGGUCUACCUAUCCGCAUUUGAUACACUCCGAUGGCACUGUCAUCUGCUUGUACAAGUCCUUAGUCACAUUCAUCCAUCUUGGUGUCCAAUGACUGACCCUGCACAAACAUGGGGCGAAGGGAGCAUGCUUGCUAGACAUCCAUGUUACUUGAUUGAACUGGAGAAAUGAUAAGGAGAUUCAUGCAAAUAUGACAAGUGUUGUGUGCAGGAUUCGUGUACUCCGAGAACUGCGAGUCAUUAUGUGUGGCCCACAAUGAUGCCUUGUUCCAGGAAUUAGACUGGUCUACUCAUCAAGUGGGUAGCUUGUGCUGCUGUGCACGGUGAAGAUGUACCCAUUUGACCAUUUUUUUUUUUUUUUAUAUUCUAACUGCUCAGAUUUCUCAUACAUGCACGUGCCACCUGAUGAGUGGACCAGCUGAAUCUUUUGGGCCAGGGAAUGUUCACAGUGGGCCCACCUGAUUUUCAGGUGUCAUUCAUGUGUAGCGUGAAGAAAGCCAAUGCAAGGAUCUCCAUAGUAUUUGUCA